rnacentral:lncRNA from 1 species
GUUUUUGAAAACCGCGAAGCUGGGAAAUUGGUAACUAAUACGUCAUAGUAGGAAGACAUUGCCUUCUCGCCUAAGUGAAAAGUAUAUAAAUACUAAGUGAGAAUCACAAUCAAGCUGGUCAAAAUUCGAUACAAAUGUCUUCGUCGAGUUCAGAUACGGAAAAUAACAGUUACCAAAGCGAUGACUGCCUGAAAUUAUAUUCCUGGGCCGUAUCAAAUCGAGUGAAAUCGAAGAAAACACCAGUGAAGCGUGGUCAACGUCGUGCCGCGUGCGCACAAAUGAUCGGCGCUGCUUGAUCCAUAUGUUACAUGUAAUGAACCAUGCAGUGACCGACGAAGAUGGCUCAAAAGUUACCGCGAAAAAAAGCAAUCACAACGAGCGUCUUAAGCAAUUACAACAAAGGCUUGAUAGUUCAGAAGAAUUGAGUAAAUGGUAAAUAUUUCACGGCUCUGAUUUUGUUGCGUGACUUGACCUUGUGUUGUAAAUUACAAACUAUAAUAUUUCAUGUGUAUACGUGGCAAUUGUCGCAUUGAACUGCUUCGUAAAUUAUGCUAAAGAGUGUCAAUGUUGUAGUGCGUCGAUUCUCUACACAGUGACAUUGUGAUUUGUGAUGCAAGAAGCUGAAGUCGCGCCAUCAUGUAUAAUUCAACAGCUAUGGCUAGAUAAGUGAGCUCUCCGUUCAGCAGCCACGAAAUUACGAACAAGAAAGAAACAGGAAUACCGUCAAACAAGCACAGAAGAUAGGUAAAUAAAGUUUUAUUUAUCAACAUAUUGAAAUUAUGAAACACUAAAACCAUACCCGAGUUUACUAUCAGUGAACACACGCAUGCGGUACGGUAACUGAGAGUUUAUAUACGGUACAUAAAUGUACAAUUAUUGAAUUAUUAUAUAUUUACAUGUGUUCACAUGCAAGUAUUAAAGCGACUUAUUAAAAAUACUUAUUUAUUAAUUUAUAGAUUCUGAAGGAGCACAGUAUAUAGAAACUUUGUGUGGAUGGUUUAUGGACAACUAAGAAAUAGACAUUUUUGCGCAUAUGAGAAAAUAAUGCCUGCUGUUGAUGAAGACUUUGUAGGAUUUGUAGAGAACAGCUCUUGAUAUUAUAUAACUAUUUUUCAAUAAAUAAACCUAUUACACUGUAUAAAUGUGGUAAUAUUAUACUGUAUUGCGUAUAGAAACAGCACAUUUGUUAUAUUCAUGACUUCAAU